CUUACUUCCGAUGCAUCCAAGGAGUUCUGCAACAACAGAAGGGGAAACAAGGCUUCACAGUCCUCAUCUUUCACUGAGAGAAAUAACAGCACAUCUAACACAGUGGCGUUUACCUAUUCGCUCGCGCCGUGGCUGCCACGCAACCUAUCUGGGCGGCCGGCUGGCACAGCCCGCGUUCACCGGAGCGAUGCCGAAGAGGAAAGCCCCGGUCCCUCUUUGGGCGAGGGGCGCGCUGCGGGCCGGCUCCGAGCGGGCAGCUCUCCCUCCUCGGCGGCGGCGGCGGGGAUGCUCCGCUCUGCGGCCAGCGGCGGGCAGCGUCCAUUGCAGCUCGGCGGGUCCGCGUCCGGAGUCCAGGGGCUCCGGCAGCCAGCAGGGGCACCCGGCCCCCGCUCCCUUAAACACCGCCGGCCAGGUGCGUUUAUUUCUCAUCCCGUCCUCUUCCCACAAGUCCACUGUCUGCGGCCGCCGAGCCCCAGCAGCAGCCCGGCCAGCCCCCGAGUCACCACCGAUCGCUCUCCCCUCUCGCUCUCUCUCUCGUUUCAAGCUCUCCCCGAGGAGGAAACAGCACGGCGCGGCUGCUCGUCCUGCAUUUCACCGCCCGGGAAACGCUGCCGCCGGAGCGCUUAAAACAAAGCGGAGAACAGUCACUUUCCGCACUGUUCCCUUCCCUUCCCUCCCCGCGCCGAGUAACGCGGCUGGCUACGGGAGCUCGCCUAGCAGGGAUGAAGAACAAGGGGGGUGAAGGCAGGAGAACCCACCCACCCAGCCAGCCCGGCAGCCCCCCGGCCGCUCCCCAUUCCCGGCGCAUCCCGGCGCACCUGACAGCCCGCCGCGCCGCGCUGUAUUUCCCUCCCUUAGCGACAGGGGAGGCGCGCGCCGGGCGCGGCCUCGCCAUUGGCCGAGCGGAGCGGCGCGGCGCGGCCAUUGGCUGCGGCGGCGGCCAAUGGGGCGCGCUGUAUCCGGGAUGCAGCGGCUGCGGAGCUAUUUAAAUCCUGCCCGGUGAUGUCAGCGCGGGCGGCGCGGGCGGCGCGGGGGGAGCGGCGGCCUGUCAGCCCGCGUUAGGAGCAGCGCGGCCGCCGCCCCCUCCGCGGGGAGGGGAGCGGCCCGGCCCGGCGCACCUGCACGGCCGGCCCCGCCUCACGGGACCUGGCAGCGCCCCGCUUCCCUGCCUGCUAACUUGCGCCGGUGUCGCUUCUGGAGGGUGCGGGUUAAUCCCGGGGUGCUGGGUGCACUCGCUGGUUGAGCGAGUGUCGCGCUAAGCCGUCACUCGCGGAGAAAGCAGACGGGCGGCUCUCCGCGGUAAAAACACUUCUGUCAACUGUUCAGGAGGAGAGGUACCCUAACUGUACUUUAUUUGCACCCAGUGCCUCCCUAUGGCCUCUGUGAGAGUGAGCCCCUCAGUUCCGGAAGGACAUUGACAGCCUGGAGCGUGUCCAGAGAUGGGCAAUGAAGCUGGUGAAGGGUCUGGAUUAUCAGUCCUAUGAGGAGCAGCUCAGGAAGCUGGGGUUGUUUAGCCUGCAGAAGAGGAAGCCCGGGGAGACCGUAUUGCUCUCUACAACCACCUGAAAGGAGAGUGUCGCCAGCUGGGGUCAGUCUCUUCUCCCAGGCAACCAGUGGCAGGAUAAAAGGACAUGGCCUUAAGCUGUGCCGGGGAGGCUUGAACAGCACGGGGCGUUUCUUAACUUAACCAUGCUGUGAUCAAAAUGCAAACAUCUUCCUUUACACAAAGGUGUGUCACCCAUGAUGGGAACACACAACUGCAACAUUUUCUCAGUUUGCAGAUGGAUGUGUGCUGUGACCAUGGAUUUUUGGCCUAUAUAACUAAAGGCAUUUUGUUUGCCCCAAAAAUGUGUGUUCAGCUAUGUGGCUGCAAAAGGACUUACGGUGUGGCGACAUGUGGAAGUGGUUCCCCAAAAGCAGUUCUGUUGUAGGGUUAAGACGAAGGCUCAGGAAUAUUUGUUGUUGUUUUAACUGAACUUCUCCCCUAUGGUUCCCAGCUCUGUUACUUCCAGGGUGACUUGGGAAAGUGUUAUCUUCCUCUAAAAUAUCAAAUCAGCAUUAGCAAGAGAUGAAAAGCUGGGCAGAGAUGUUCAUGGUGUUCCUGCUCCUGACUCGUGCAUCUUGCUCAAAUGCUUAGAAUUAAUGAUCUGAUUUGACUUGAGAAGAAAUUUAUCUCUAACAUGGGCUGUUGAAUUUGGGGUAAAAAAAAAAAAAAAAAACCAAACUGAAAAAGGGAAGCAUUCACCCCAUUCAGUUAAGAUGGAAUAUGGUUCAUCUUGUAAGAGGAACUUGGGUAUUUUGGGGACAAGAACUGCUGGAAUGGACAGAGCCCUUCCCCUGGAGGUGUAUAAACCUUAAAUCUGUUGGUGGGGGGUGGAGAGGAAGAGAUUAAUAUAUGUAAGUGGAAGAUGAAUGGAUCUUUCUGGACUUCACAGCUGUGGCAUAAACUUAGAAGGGCAGAAAGGAAUGGGAAGAGUUCAUCUCAUCCGUCCCGUGAUUGUACUACCAUAAAGCAGGAUCCAAUCUCCCCAUCUCUUUCCUGAUAAAUACCCAAACUAUGCAAAUAUCUUUAGGCAUAAAACUUGAUAAUCUCCCCACACAUCUCUUUGAGUGCGCUGCUUUCCUUGGCUUAGGAUAGUCUAGUUCUCCUUUUAUUACCUGAGAGACUGCAAUCCCUGACUCUUCCUUACUUAGUUCUACACAUCUUUUUAAGAAAGGUCUGGAGAAACAAGGCCAGUAGUUAUGUCAACAUUUCCUCAUGGUUUUAUCUUUUUUCCUCCUAAACCAGCAUGGUGAAUUAACAAAAUAAAUGGCAGGUGAAAUUUGCAGCCCCUGGGAAAGGAGCACCUACUGCAGGGGAAGAUGGAUGGAUAGUGCUGAAGUGAUGACAUCAGCUCUAAAGAGAAAGAUAGGGACAGCUGAGUGCAGCUCCAUUGAAAAAGGAGAAAAAAAGAAAAAAACAACCCCCAAAUUUUAGGGUGCCUAAGGCAAGGGAUGCUGAAUGAUAAGCAAUAAAAUACUACUGUAAAUGUUACUCACUGGACAUUAUGGUGUGCUGCAGCACCUCAGCUUCAGAGUUUUGCAGGGUGUACAAGGAUCACUGCUAAAGCUGGGUAAACAGAGACAUGGUGAAACCAGGAGGCAUAUGAGUAACUGAAGCUCAGACGAGGUAGAAUUCAUCUGGAAAUCCUUUCCCAGUCUCGACACUGCUUCUUCCUGGCCAAUCUUUAGAAAUCAUUCCUGCUUCAGACUAGUGAUAUAUAAUACUGUCAUUUUUCCUGUUAAGAACACAUUUUGCAGAAGGGUCUGUAAUGCUGUGUAGCAUUCAGCUGAAUUCAGGCUACAAGGUGGGGUCACUGCAGUCCUCUGCUUUAAAACAUCACUGAUAGAAGUCUUAUUUUAAAUGUUCUGGUCUGGACUAGUGAAGCUUUUCAAUUUUUAAAUGUGUUUUGUGUGGAAAAUCCGUCUGUUAAAUAAUUAGCAAGGGCUCUGAGCAUUACUGCAUAUUUUAUAUUUCAUCUGCCUGGAAGAAAUGGACAGUUCUGAUGCUAUAGAUUAAUUGCAAUUUAUUGUGUGAUAUUCUGACUGCUGGAAGAGAGAGACUUUAGUUUAUUUCUUUUACAUCUAGUUACUCAAGGAAUGGGGUUGGACAGAAGAAGGGUUUAGCCAUACCUUUUCUUCUAUUCUCAGUUGCAGGGGACAUUUGAGUUUACAAAAAAAAAAAAUCUGCACAAGCUGAAAAUGUGAAAAACAGAGACUUGAGUGGUUCAACAGUACAAAGAAUUCCAGUGCUGGAUCCUAUUUUCUUGGCAGGCAGUGGCUUGGAUGGCUUAUUUUACCUUUUACAUAGCCUUACUCCACAUUUUAGUGUAAAUUUUCCUCAGGCAGGAAAAAAAAAAAUCAUUGCUGUUGCAUGAAUUAGUCAUAGGUGGACUAUGGACACUAAUUGUGUUCCAAAUGAAGAAUUUGGCAUAAAAAGCUGUUCAGAUUUAACCUUUUCCUCUCAGAAGUGGAGUUACGAAUGAUUCUUUUAAUGGACUGAAGGAUAAGAUCACCUUUUAAGUAAUUUUGAUGAUCAGAUCUGUGUUGCUGAGUCUCUUUGAAUGGGAGGUUGUGUCGGAAGUGGGGCCUUGGCUCUGCUGUGGGCAUUUCUGUACAUCUCACUGCUGUUAGGCUACACCAGCAGGCCUUGGUGUGACAAAGUGGUAACUGUCACAUCUGUUUUCCUAGAAAGUUGUUUUGUCCUGUCUUCAACACCAACUUUGAAUUCUGAGAUAGUUUUAUAUCCCCAGCACUGCAAUUGGCAGCACCAUUCUUAAGGGAAAAAAUACUUCAAUCCUCACGUGUGUUGGACCUAGCAGCCCUCCUGGCAGUCAGCGGGAGCCUUUAGUCUGCCAGAAGAUGCAGAUGUGGGUUCCUCAGCCUGAAGAAAUUGCUCUAGAUAACAGAAUACAGACAAAUGGUGAUUAAUCAAAUGUGCCUACAAUGCACAGAAGUUCUCUAAGAGUAUAAGCUAACUUCCCAGUCUCCUCCCAUGCUGCAGCACCAAUAGCUCAAGUCUCUAAGCAGUCCUCUGCUUCAUUUCACAGCCACUGCUUAGGUGGCUGCUGCAGUUUGUUUUGUAAGCUAUGUUGUACAGAAAGCAGUCACCUGUGCGUGCUGUCUCUGCACGCACUGGAGCUCAGUCAUGUAUUUUGCCCACAUCAGUUUCUUCCACAGUGUUGCCUGGUUAGCACUUGCAACAAGCAUCCCGUGAAGCCUUUAGACAAGUCUCUUCCAGCUUGCUGGAACGCACAGGAUGCUGAUGACCAUCAGGGAGUAUAAAGAGGGUGGUUGCAGUGGUACUCAGUGGCCUGUUGAGGACCAGAUCCCUAGUCAGGCCAGUGAGGAUUGCAGGGAAGAAUCAAAGGCUUGAAUAAAACUGAUUCCCCAUUCUGGCAAUCAGACUGAGGAAAUGCGUGUUUCCUUGCAGCCCUGCUGCAGCUUGCAAGAUCUCUUCCAUCUCCAAAACACUGCUGAGACUGAUGCCAGUGAAAAUAACAGGCAGAAACAUUUUUUAACAUUUAUUCCACUCAUUUGCAAUUCAAGUAUGGUGAACUCCUGUGUGCUGAAAAGCAGGGAGCAGAAUAGAACAGACCAAUCUGGUUUUGAAGACUGCAGGAGUUAUUUACCAUCACUGAGAUUUAGAGGAUUGUUUUAAUGUUAUUGAUCAGCAUUUCUAAAAUGGUGUUGAACUGUAGCUUUCCUGUUGUGAUAAAGCUGAACAACUACUAUCUUCAUACACUCUUUGUUAGUACAUUGGCUCCACAUACCAAAAGGCAUGGGACACCAAAGAAGGCUGGAAGAGUGUGUUCAAAAUAGCAUAAGGAGGAAUUUUAUGUAAUAUUUCCUAGGUACAAUGUUCCUAAAGCAGUGAAAAAUUUUACUUUAUUCUUUCACAAAACUUACCAGUAUGUGUAUAACAAAGGCUGUUUUUAAGUAUUGGCUUGUUUGAGCAACUACUCUUAGGUUUGGGAUGAAGUAUAAUACGAUGUGAUAUCAUGUCAGUGGGCAGUAUUAACUUCUGUAUAAUCUUCCAUAAAGGGUAGGGAACUUGAGAGAAGUGUCCUUUUACAAUCCCCUAUAAUGAAGGGAGAAGCUUGUCAGCUGAAUUGCCCAAUACGUGGAUUUUUUUUGUUUUUAAAAGUUAGCUGUCACAUUUCACUGUUGUCUUUCUUCUCCUCACAAUCCUGAAAAACAGAUUAUUCAAUCGCUAGCAUAAAAUUUAAGUCCAGAGAUGACUCUUACAGUAAAUACCAGCGUGACAUUUAAUAUAAAUUCUUGCCUAAAAAUAUCUGUGAUAAAUCUUAGAUCCUAUAGGUAUGCAUAUGUAUGUAUUGAUACUAGAGGAUGAUCUAGUUGGGGGUUGAGCACCAUGUUCCAAAAAAGCAAAGCCAUGUAAACUACUCAUCACCUCUUCAUCAUCUGAGCAUAUGCAGACACCUACCAUUUUUGUGACACUGUUUUAAUCCUAUGUGGAAUGGCUUCAUGAAGGCAGCUGCAUUUUUAGCAUACAUGGAAGCUUACUGAGCUCAGCACAGAGCUAUUUCCAGUCAAGAAUGCAAAACAGCGAAGAUGGUUAUCGUCCACCUCUUUCCUAAUGGUCAUCUAUUUAGAGGAUAGAGGACUCACUGAGGAAAUCAGACUUUCAGCACCCUCAGACAGUAAUUCCCACUUACUAGAUGAUAGAUCUCACCUUAGUGGCAUGAGUGGAAUCAUGACACAUCCUCUUCCAUGGUUUUCAGAGUUGAUUUAUACUCUCUACCAUGCUUGCACAGGACUGUUUUCCUUUCUAUAACCACUUAAAAUGCUAUUCUACUCUAGUUUCUGUGGAAUCAGUGGCUUCUAGUAAGGAAAGGGAUAACUUUAACACAAGAACUGAAAUUCUGUUUGACUCCUGAGUAGACAGAGAAGAAUAUCUCUAGUGAUAUUUCCAUAGGUCUUUAAUUUCUAAGAUAAAAAAUAUACAUCUAUUCUCUGGUACCAACUUCUCUUGCAUCCUUUGAAUAAUUAUUCUGUUAGUUUUAAGUCACACAGUGCUUUUCAAUUCAUUCAAUUCAGCAUGCGGGAGAAGUGCACAUCAAAUUUAAGGACCAAAAUGAAAUCAUCAACCACUCACAAGGCAACACUGGCAAGAUUUUUGUCCUGAGCACUACAGAACACUGAGAAGCUACUGGGUUAACUUGUCCUAACACAGAGCAGAAGCCCCUGGAGUGAAUCCAGCAUUACUUAUCUAGGAGCUGUGUCCAUGUGUUUGAUUGGUGUCUUGUUUUGGUUUUGUUUUUCCAAGGGAAUCAUAACUCAUUUGCACAAACAAUCCCUCGUCCAUAAUGAAUACACAUACCAGGAUUUAUAACAGAUAAAUUAAAAUAGAUGUGCUCAUGAGACAGCAAAGUAUGCAGUAGUAGAAAGGAUAAGGAGUACCCUUUUCAUUCUGUCUGAUAAGAAUGAUCACUCAGAGCAGGAUAUAAUUUUAAUUUCUAAGUUAUCCAAAUACCCACAUCAAAAAAGGAAAACAGAAAACAGGUCAUUAUAGGCACAUCGGUAUCGCAAGUGCUUUGGUAUCUUGCUUUUGUGUGUUGCAUUCAAUAUCUGAUCAUACAGCAUACAGCACCAAAGCACACAGCAUUUAUAAAGAUGUCAUUAAAGAAUGUGACAGUCUAGGCUGCAGGAGACAGAAAGAAAAAACCCGGUUCCACUUAAUCAUUUGCCUGAAUCUUGCAUGACUUUUUUCAGGGCAAGAAAAACAAGGACUUUUAAACAAGUGGCAAGUGAGCUGCUGCUCAAAGAAAGGGGUGAAACUCUGUAUGGCAUCCUUAAAAAAUGAGAGCCAAGAAGUUGCGAUCUGCUGCAGACAGCUGAGGGUGCGUGUUACUCUUCAAAUUAAUUUAGGUAAAUUUAAUUUAUCAGUAAAUCAGCCAUGAUAAGAUGUUAGAGAGGGAUAACCAGGUUAUAGGUGUGGGUGGGAAUAAUAGACACAGCAAAACAAGCUGGUUGGGUAUGUGGAGAAGUGUGUUGCUGGAAAGUCCUGUGAGAGACUUCAUACGGGCUGAAGUAUCGUAUAUAAACUUGUGUCACAUGCUGUUGAUCAGGGAGAAUUCAAAUGCUGAAGAGACUGAGCAGUGGCAGAGUCUCUGGCUUUGUGUGCCAAAAAAACCCAGUGUGGAACACUUGGUAAGCAUCUUAACCUCUACUUCCUGCUUGUUAUGACUACAUGGUGCUGUUUCCUGGCAAUUUUGAGGUUAUUUGAAGGACUCUGGAGAAGGCAGCUUGAAUGGCAUAUGGCACUGGAAUGGACCCAGAAACUGCUGGAAGAUGCAAGAGGAUUCACAGGGGAGGAGAAGUGCAGAGGGCAAUGGAAAGACGCCAAAGUGAACAAGCAUGGAGUGCAAAGAAUGAACAGAGGUGUAUCAUUAUGGUAGUUUCAGAUGCUACCUAGGGCUGCUUGGACCUGUGGGAAGCUGAAGAGUGCUCUUAGCUUAGCAUGGCAGACCUGCUUGUCUAAUUUCAUCUGUAGUAUUUCUAGAAUACAAGUAAUGGGCAAGCUGUAUUGGAAUGUGAAGAUAAGCACUAAAGGCACUUCAUCUGCUGGGAUCUGCAGAUGCUGAUGCCUGAGGUUCCUCAUAAUCUGGUAUGUGCCUGGCAGGAGAGGAGGAAGCAUAGUAAAGAAGAGUCAUAGUGCACUUGGUUCCAUGGUUCAAAUGGCUACAGCUGUCAAACAAUAGUGCUUCUUGUUUUGGAGUUAGCUUGGGUUAAAACUCUUCAGGCCUAUUUGCCUGGGGCAAGCCUCCAAGCUACAAUGCUGUUAGGAAUUUGCUGCUUAAAUCUCCUUGGCAGCAGUUGCAAUUUUUCAGCUUUUGUGGCAGUGGAGCAGGUUCCUGGGAAUGGUAAGGGAAAUCUCAGAAGGUAUUUGUGAGACACCUGGGAGAUGCCUGUAGGGAUGGGGAGGAAAUCUUGGAGAAGCCAGCAGGAUGUCAUGGGUCUGCAGUAGACCUGCAAUGAGGAGGAGGCUGUACUCAGUUUCUUUCCCUUCUCUCAAUAUGUUCUCAUCUUUUCCUCCCCAGGAGUGGCUACUCAUGCUCUUGGGAGAUUGGAGUUUUUUUCUGAAGCCCACAACUGUUUCCUUCCCACCUUAUAGCUGUCUUCCUCUAUCAAGUCAAUUGUACCUAGAAAAAACCCUCCUUGUGGCUUUGCUGUAGUCUCUAAUUAUUCUCUGCUGAAAAGAAGAGGAUGCUGGUGUGGCUCCUGUUACAGAGCAAAGAAGAGGCAGAAGGUGAGCCAAUCCCAUCGGCCCUGCUGUGUUUCCUCUGCCGAGAAGCCAGCUAGCUAGCCCAGCAAGCAGCUCUUUUCCUGACUCCGAAGUUGCUUCAGCGAUGCGUGGAGGUAACACAGCUGGACUGUCUCUGACCUGGGGCACGCCAGAGCUCGUCCCUGUUCGGGCACCAAACACUGCAUUAAUCCAGUUAGGCUUUCAAAAUACUUUUGACCAGGUCCCUCAGUAAAGGCUCAUUACAAAAUAGGUUUCUGAUGAAGCAAGUAACAAAAUCUGUCAAAUUUCACUGUUACCGGUCUUUCAUUACUCAGUGAAAAGGUGAAGAAUACAAUAUAGUGGUGAGGUUUACUGAUGAUACUAAGUUCUUUAGGAUACUAAAAUCAAAAGUCACCUAUAAGGUGUUGCUGGAGGACACCACGAAUUGUGGAAUAAGAAAAGAGCUAACAAAAUUAGGUAAACUUCAGCAAAUCUUAACUUCUCAAUACAGACUAAUGGUUUCUAAACAUCACUAGCAUUUAAGAAAGAGGCCAUGGAAUAAUUUUGACCAGUUUGAUUAAAAUAGUCACAGUUCAAAGGUAAACCACAAGGAAAGAAACUGAGAUUAAGCAGAAAAACAUUGUUAAAGCACUCUUCUCUCUCUCCCAUUUUUCUAGGUUAGAAGGAAGAUCGAGAAGAAUGAUCAAAGGUGUGGAACUUUUCCAUCUGAGGAGAUAGUAAAUGAAAAGUAAACAGACCAAGAUGUUUCUAUUUGGAGAAACGGUAAUUUGAGGGGAUACUCUGAAGGAAAUCUAUGAAAUGGUCACUGGUGUUAGGGCAGAUAAAGAGCAAUCACAUACAACUUCUCACAAUAAGAGAACUGAAUGGGAGUCUAUAACAUUGUCAUUUGGCAGGUUCAAAACACAAGGAAGUAAUUUUUUUCCAUAAAAUAGAAUUGAAUGUAGAAUACACUUGUCGUUAUGGUAAAAAAAUUGGAAUGGGUUAAAAAAAGGAAUCAGAGCCAUCUUAGAGACAAGCUUAUUGAAGACUAUUAUGCAGUGGUCUAGAAAGAAAUCUCCAGCUUGGAAUUAUUGGGAGCUACAGGAUAUGCCCUGGAAAGAACAGAUUUAUAUGUCUAAUGAGCUUUUCAUAAGCACCCACAAUUGGCCACUGUGGGGAAGAGGAAACUGAGCUACAAUGACCUUUGGUCUGCCCAAGUACAGACACUUAAACUUCUACUUUCCAAACAGAGUAAAUUACUUUAAUGAGGCUUCUAAUAUCAGCCACAUAAUAUGAGGUUAGCACAGGUAGGCAAUAUUUAAAUAUUAUAUCUAACUCCCUAUUGUCUUGAUUAACAGCUAUGAAAUAUCCAAAGGGCAUUAUUGGGCAUCAUUCAAGUGGCACUGGUCUUAUGCCAUGAAUGCAACAAGCCUCUAUAUGAGACCAGAGCUCUUUCUCCUGGUAAACACCAAGCCAUAUGUUUUUAUCAGGCACUAAUUUGGGGGAGAAUUAAUCUUUAUAAAGUUAUUAUGUUAGAGUGUCCUAGUUAUGUCAAAGUAUAGAGCUGGGGGCUUCUUCAGUUAUACAAAUAUUGCUAAACAUUUAAUUUCAGAUUUUCAGUCUGGUGGAUAAUAAAAAAUGACUACCCACCAAACUUGUAGCAUUAAAUGGAGACUGUAUUUUUGGCAGCUCAUUGUAGAGGGAUUAAUAUUACUGGAAUAGCUUUGUUUCUCAGCAAUGCCUCCUUAAGAACAGCUUCCUCUGAACACAUAUUUCUAUUUUAUUGAGAAAAGGAAAUACGGUAUUAGAAAUCAAUGUUUUCAAAGGGUAAUUUAAAGAAAUCUAUCUUAGCAGAUACUGAAAUAUUUUCAAUUUAGAACAAAUAGUAUUUCUGUCAUCCAGUUGGAUUUUUUAAAUUAGACCAUUACUCCUUGAUAAGUUAAUUACAAAACAGAAAGAGACUCAACAAAUCUAAAAAAGUGUAUUGAUGAAAGUAUAGAGCACAUGUCUAAAAGCUGCUUUUACUGAUUUAUGGGUGAAAUUUUACUUUUUAUAUGAAAAAACCUUAUCUCCAAUGUCUUAAAUCAUAGGGAAAAAUGCUCAAUUUUUCACCCUAUCACAACUAAUUUUUUACAUUGGUACACUGAUGGACUAUUGUUUUCCUGUGCUACCAUCCAUUAUAAAAAGGGACAGCACCAUAAUUGAAAUUGUUUAAAAUAUGGUGCAUUUAGAUAAUUCUUUACUUCGGUAUAAAUAUGACUACACGAGAAAUGCUGCUACUGGCAAUUGCUAGGAUGAGCUACCAAAAUGCAAUUACUGCUCGGCAGGCCAUAUUCCUCUGGGAUUUGGAAAUGAAAAAUAUCAGAACUUCCUCUGAAAUGCAGAAAGGUUAGAGGAAUGGAAGGAACAUUUUUUUGUUGGGUCUGUGAUGCAGACAAGGGAAGUAUGGAGUAUGUUGCAACCAUGGGUUGAAAUGUCUCCAGGUCCAUCAGCUGAAUCCCUGUCUCGCGAAAAUCCCUGACAAGUCUUUUAGCUCAGUGAAGUCACAAUUUCACCCCAAGGAUUUUGGGUAAAAGGAAGUAAAAUUUACCCCAAAAAUUGCACUAGGUGAUUAGCUUUGUAAUCUCUGCCCAUGGAUGUCCCUGUAACUGUGCUGCAUGGCUGCAUUUUGUGCUUCUUACAGUAAGAACUCACCAAGGUGCCCAGUGGGAAUCCUUCCUGAUAAGUGCUGGGGUCUGAGCAAAGUCGUGGCAGGUAUCAGUCUAACACUUUAACAAAAUGAAUAGUGGCAAGCCAGAACCCAAACUAAAUGCCCUGUUUCUGAGUAGUUUACCAGUAUAGAAACUGUCCCACAGAGCCAACAGAUGUUGCUGUCCUAAAGUGCACAGGCAGAUUUAGCCUUUUCAGGUACCAUACAAUUUCACAGAAUUUCACAGAACUGGCCAACUGGUGAAAAAAAAAACCUGGCCAACUGCAGAAAAAUGGCAGAAAUAACAAAUCUGGGUAAUGGGUGAUACUGUUUCUGUGAAACUGUACAGUAUCUGAAAAGGCUAGAUCUGCUUUUCCACUUUAGGGCAGCAACAUCUUGGGGUAAGAAAAUAUUUAUCAUAUUAUAUUCAACAGAACUGGCCCUAGAAUUGAACCUGGAGGAACACUGCUGGUGACUGAUUGCCAGCCAGUUUUAAGUAUGCCCCUUUAACAACAACCCUUAGAAUGUUCAAUACCAGGUAAAAUCAUAAGAAAUUUUAACAAAAAUUGUUUGCAGAAGAUUUCUAUACUUCAAAUACAGGAAAGAAAAAAAGAGAAAAGAAACCUCUAGGAUACAGUAAAAAGCCCCAAUUUUCAGUAUACUGUCCGGUGGUAAUUUUAAGAACCCAGAACUUUUGAAAAAACAGGCAAUUUUUUAAAAUUACAUGUGAAGUCUCCUUUAUACAAGGCUCUCCAUAUUACUGCUCACAUCAAUACUAUCUCAGAGAUAACAGCCACCCAUAAAUUGCAAUAUUGCUCACCUUCCUAAAUGUGGAGCAAAUUUAGGCAGACACUAGGCCUUGGUUGUACACCUCCAUCCCCUCCUUUUGAUGAACAGAAAUACAGGUAGCACUGUAAAGUCUGUAACUUUAUGCUGUUACAUGAGAAUAAUCCAGGGACACAAUUAUCUCCAUUAUCAGAAAGUAUCCAGCUGUGUCCAGCAUCAUCUCCAGAUACUUAGCCACAUCUCAGUGGACACUGUAAUAGGAGGUCUAAGAUUGACCAGUCCGACCAUUUCUUUAAAAGUUGUAUAGCAGGUGAACAUCUUUUACCAUGUAUACCUGCAAUUAUGAAAGUAAUUAAGUAGCACAGGUGAGACCAAGAAGCCCCUCAAAGUAAAUCCCUGAGACUCACAAUGUUAUUGUAAUUAGCUGUCUGUCUUAGUAGGUUGUUCGUUUAUUGCAUCUGCCCUAUGUGCUAGGGAUGACAACCCAUAAUUUGACAAAAAAUAUUUUAAAUGGUUUCUUACUAAGAUGAGGACUUAUUUUCAUUUUUCCCAGACUACAUGUACUUUCUUUCCUUUGCUUUUAAUUACAAAUAUUCAUGGAAGUGAGAGACAAAGUAAUGAUCUUCACCCCUUCUAUUUAGAGAGAAAACCUGUCUGGUGAUGUUUGUUUUAUCUUUCCCUUACAAAGUGACAUAGUCUAAGGACCCUGAAGGACAGGCAUGUUAGCUCUGCAGUUUUGGUUUGGGAUUGUUCCAGGUUAGAUGACUUUUCAAAUACCUCUAAUUACCACUGUGGAACAGUUUGCAUUUUGAUAUAAAUUAAAUCCCUGUCUAUAAGCAUGGACUUCUAGUUUCCACAGAGGAAAAAUGGAAGUCAGAAGUUCUGUAUGAAAAAUAAACAUAAGCUGCAUUGAAAAUUGGACUUCGGAUCAUUAUUCAUUGGUUCACAUUAACAUGCAUUAGGGAAGUUACUGUGAGCAUGGUAGCAGCACUGUGAGCCCAGGUUCCAGCUCUGUCACUUACUUGUGGCUUUUCAGCAGGAGUAUCUUGAGUUGCUGCAUGGUGGAGCAAUGUGCAAGGUCAAGUGGGGAGUGUCAUUGAAAUUCUGUGUUAGGGACUCCUGGCCAAGGAGAAUGUGGCUAAGUCCAUGAUCAGGGAUUUGACUCCUUUAUUUAUCAUAGUUAUUAAUGUACCAGCUCAAAAGGUCAAGUGACUCACAUGAGAAUCUCAGUUUUCAUUUGAAGAAAAAUGUGUCCCUAGCCUUGUGCCUACAGAGAAAAGAUAAAAAUGCAAAUGUGCAAAGGCUUAAGAAGUAGAAUGAUACUUUAAAAAUCAUUAAAAGACACUAAACAUGAAGAGUUUUUGAUCUGAUGUUAUGCUCUGGGAGAUGAAUUCAUGACUUUUGAAUCAGGGAGAGAAAAGAUUAGGAUGGACAAUAGAAAAAGGAAUGGAGCAAUCUUCCAAAACACUAAUUAUUUGAAGAGCUGUUCCCACGUGUUAAAACUUGAGAUAAUAUUUUACUGUCUGCUGCUUACAAAAGAAAAAUAUAUCCCAUCAAGUCAAGAUGAAGAAUCCAUGCAAUGUUGUAGACUAUGAUCUUUCUGGCUGUUACCUCAUUUCAGUCAGUUGGAAUUUUACUGACCGAUAAUUUGACAUUUGUUGUUGCAAAGUGGAUCCACAAAAGCCACAUCUGUUCACGCAGCACCAAAUUGCCCUUCCAAAUGGGCCUCAAGACCUGCUUCAGGGCUAGCGUAUCUCAUCAAUCAAUUAAACACAUUUCUUUUUAUUUUAAAAAUGAACGCAGAUCUUACAUGAAAUAUGGGAGGGUUCUACUGGCUAUGGUUUGCUGUGCAAUGACUAUCAAUGGCCAGGCCUGAAGUAACGUUUUGGUUAGAGUUUGUUCCAAAUAGUGACAUGCUGGAACAAAACAUGAGAUAGUUGAGCAAGCUUUCAACUACUGCAAGGAAGAUCUAGUUGAAAGAGAAGAGGUUGAAGAACUCAACUGAGUGUGAGAACUCUUUGGGUAAAAUUUUCACCCUUGCCUCAACUCCAGCUUUUUGCAAGUGCUGAGUCUCUUGGCACAUGUCUUUAACUAGUCUGGUGCUGUAGUAUUCCUGUUCCAUCUUUGAGUAUCCUGUCAAGGGCUUCCCACAGGCUUGGUGAUGGAAGCGUGGGGUACAAAUCAUUGUAUCUUGCACACCAAAGUGUUUUCUUAUUAGCACCUGACAUUGCCGGCCAAGUAUGAAGAGAGAACUUCUCCAUCAAACUUGAUGACUCCAAAAUUCCCUUUUGAUCAGCCAGUGGUUAGAUUUUGAAGGGAAGGGCACAGCUGUUUCAGAAGUGAAGUCUAGCAGUUCUUCAUAAAUGCCUUUCCUUUCACAUCCUUUGAUGUCAGGUGAAACCUCAAUAUCUCAGAAUUUCCCAACAGCUGUUUUCUAAAAAUCACAGAAUUAGAAAAUUUUCUUUUUGUGACCAUGCAUCCUUACUUUUCACUUUGAACCCAUUCUCUGUGGUUCAGCUUCAUUUGUUUGGUUCAUCUAUCACUUGCAGACUGAUAACACUCUGGUGUCCAGUCAUGGCCAGCUGGGUCUUUGUAAUGUGAGAUGGUGUAUAAACACACUAGCAAAAUAAUGUUCUAUUCCAGAGACAAUUGUUGUUGAAAACAAUCCUAACGAUGGCUGGAAACCUGAAAAAGGAAGAGGAUUAUUGGUCAGUACACUACCAUAAAACACAACAGGCUGUCUUUAGCUUGGCACUGGAGAAUGUUAGAAAGUGAGUCUACUGAACAAAACUCCUUGUGUUUUUCCCUUGUGUGGGCUUGAUCCAGGAGCAGUAAGUGGAGAGCUGAAAGGUAGAAAAGAACUGUCUGAAAAAGUGGUGUGAUAAAAGAAGACAGCUAAAAGAAAUACUGGAGCUUUUAAACCACUCCCACUUAGCAAUGCUGGUUUUUGUACCUUCAGUUUCAUCUGCUUCUCACAGUCUAUCUAUCCUACCAAAUAUGCCUACCUUUCAAAAUUACCCCAGCUUUGGAUGGAGGUAGCAGCAGCUGUAAGACCCCAUAAGGUGUGAUUAUCUUUCUCCUGUCGAUUAUGUUUAAACAUAUGCUAAACUGUAAAUGUCAUUUUUCUAGCGUGACUCUGGAGUACACUUAAUGAUAGUCUUGUUACCAACUGACCUCCUGGUCCUGACAGAGAUUAAACAUCUUGGGCAAAUUUUCAUUGCUUGAAUCCAUGCCAAAUCCUUUUAACGCGUGAAGGACUCGAUCACUUCUAAACUGGUGAUGUAGUACAAACAAGGUUCAGUUGUUUGAUGCCAAGAUGCCUGCUUGAUUUUUGCAGUAAAGGAAUAGAAAUUCAUAAUGACCAUGGGAAUAGCAAAAGAAAAUGUAUCUGUGCAGAUCCUUGUUGAUAGCCUAAUCUGAUUCCUCAGUACAUCCUGCCUGGACAAGGUUGAGUGAUGCAGCAGCAGCCAGCAAGUACUACAGCCAUGCCACCUCACGUGAUUAAAAAACAUUAUCUGUGUCCAUGGCUUAUCAUCAGAAGCAUAACCUCAGCUUUCAAAAUAAGGGAUAUACUUUUUAAGUAUUCAUAUUGUGGAAAUUAAAGUAAGUUAGAUCAUGUGGUAGUGUUGGUUUUAGCAACUUGUACUUACCCUGCUCCCAGCAUAUUUAAACACACCUGAAAAAUCUAACUAAACCUACAGUGGGGCUUUUUUCAGGGUUUUUUAAUGCUCCGUUGGCUAUUAACAUUUCACAGCAUGUCAAAACUGGCCUUUCUGAUUCUAUUGAGCCUUGCUGAAUGGGAAUUUUUGUAUCAUUUAAGAGCAAUUCAUUGCACUGCCUGUAUUCUGUAUCUUCUCCUCAGAAACAGGGAUGAUGACAGGUGAUGUCUCAAAAGAUAAGUAAUCUUCCACUACAUACCCUCUGUCUACAGUGAGUUCUCUAGAUGUUGUACAUGAGGUUCACCAGGAAAAUUCAUCAUGGCAUGUUACCUACUUUAUUUAUCCAUUCCACUAGAUACACCUACUAAAAAUAGCUGUUCUUAGAUGAGUGAAUCUUGCCCUCUCACGUGUCAGUCUGCAGGAUCUAAUUCUGUAGCUAAUUUUACAAAACUGAAGAGUCAUAAGAUGAAUGGGCUGCAUUCACCUACUCACAAAAUGGAAAUUGUAUCCUCCAGGGAUAUUUUGAUGAUUUAAAAAUUCCUUAGGAUACAUGUCAAUUAAAAGGAAAAAGAAAGAGGAAGCAUUCCAUACACCCUUUCAUGCUUAUUUCCUCUUCUUCACUGUUGUUUCCCUUUUAUUGCGUCUAUCCUCAGAUAAGCCUUCUGUCACCGAAUCAAUUUUGCCAUGUUGUAUGGCUGUUCUUUUAUCUUCUUUAUUUUUGCAUAUUUGUUGUGGUUUAAUCUGGCAGGCAGCUAAACAUCGCAUGGUCGCUCACUCACUCUUCCUCACCCCAGUGGGAUGGUGGAGGGAAUUGCUUCAGAAAAAUAAAAUUCAUGGGCUGAGAUAAAGAUGGUUUCACAGGACAGAAAAAGAAAAAAAAAACCUGGAUAUGCAAAACAGGUAAUGCACGAUGCAAUUGCUCACUACCAGCUGACCCAUGCCUGGCCAGUUCCUGAGUAGCAACCUCUGACCACCUUUCCCCCUAGUUUAUAUACUGAGCAUGACAUUAUGGGGUAUAGAAUGUCCCCUUUGCCAGUUUAGGUCACCUUGUGCAGUUGUGUCUCCUCCCAACCUCUUGUGCCCUCUGGCCUGCUUGCAGGUAGGAUGGUGUGAGAAGCAGAAAAGGCCUUCCUUGACUUUGUGUAGCAACAGCUAAAACACCCCCGUGUUAUCAACAUUAUUCUCAUCCUAAAUCCAAACCACUGCUCUGUACCACUUACUAGGAAGAAAACCAACUCAGCUGAAACCAGGAUAAUGUACUAGGUUACACUACUACUAUGUGAGAUAAUAUUUCUAUUUCUUUCCAGGCAUUUCCUGUACUUUUAUUAUGAAUGACAAUGAGAUUGGAACCAAGUUCAGCAUCAACCAAUGGCUGAUUAGUAGUUUUAGUAUUUCUGAUAAAAAUGAGCAGAUAACAGUCAAAUUUUGAAGGAGAGGGUAAUGAUCGUAAAAUUUUGCUCACAUUUUGAGCUUUUGUUGAUACUUCAAGUAGAGAAAGUAGAUGACUCAAUUUAACAGCUUCUCACCACUAGAAUGGUUUUCUUUACACUAUGACUGAAAACUGCACAGACAGGAAACCGCAGAAAACCUUGCAAAACCUAAGCUUUAGGUUUAACAUUGGCUUAACAUUUAAGCCUGGUUUAACACUGACAAUAAAUGUCCUGUGCACUAAUACAGGAAGGAUGGGACAAAUAGUGAUUUGCUGGGUAUAGGAACAAAGACAGAAGGAAAAAUAAAGUCUUUCACCCAGUCUUUCCUUUCUGUGCUCAGAGGCAGGUUGUAGAAUACAAGAAGUGAUGAAAAACAGCAGCUGCAAAAAUACAGAGCAGCCCAGCCUUUCUUCAGAGGUGGUGCUGAGCAGGUCAGCAAGGCUGCAAAUUGAGGUGGGUUUAGUACAAGUAUGAAAAGAGUAUAUCUGCAACAGUCACAAGGUCAUGCAAAUAUCACUCAAGUAUCCCUGAAUAUUUGAGCUGCAACUGCUGCCAGAAAUUAAAGUGGCUUUUCUUCCAAUAUAACUCUACAGGUAAAAAAAUAUUUUUGUAUGUAGGAUACUAUCAAUCCCCACAGGAAAGUUUGCGUUCCAAAAUAACAAAGAAUGCCUUUUUCCUUAGUUUAUUUAUCAUGGAAUAGAAGUGUCCACACAAGCAGCUUUACAUUCACAAUUAUAUUGUAAGAUUUUUAGUGGUUCAUUUUUUCAGUGAGUCAAGUCUUAAAACUAUUACUUGACGGAAAAGCCCCCAACCUUUGAGGAAGAACAGGAACCAUAUUGAUACUGAUGUGUUCUGGAGAUGGUACCCUUGUAUGCAAAAUCCAUUGCCCUCUUUGGACAAAUCUGGACCCUCACACAAAGCACUGUCAGCAAUGAAGCACUGUGAUUAGCAAUUUAGGAAAGAAAUGUGAUGCACUCAGAAAGGAACCCAAAGAAGCAACAAAGAUGGUAGCCAGAAAAUUAUAUAUCAGCAGUACUAUUUCUAAAAAUAAUGGUUUCCAAACUUUUCCACGAGGCAUUAACAGCUCUUUAAGGGAUAAUCUUUAUUGCUUUGUAAUGUACAAAGCAAUAAACAGCUGCUGAGAUUGAUUAAUAGCCAAAGCAAAGUGGAGGCAUGUAAUCAAUCUAAAAAGCCAUUUAUUGUGAGUAUACUACAAAGCAAUAGAGAUUAUUGCUGUUGCACAACAAACCAUAACAGAGAAAGCACACACAUACACACAAACAGUUGUUUUCUUUUCAAGGCUUGCAGUGCUAUGCUGCCUUUUCCCUGAGCUUUUCUUUUUAGUGAAGGCAGGCAACUGGCCUUACAGCAAACAAUCUACUGGGAAAAAUAAUGCUCUAAGAACUUCAAUGUUAUCUAAAGGAGAAAUAAUAUUUAGUUUUUUAGUUCUGUAGCUAGAAGUACAAAAUUCCACGGGUAUUCAUCUUGUCCUUGGUAGUGGUACUGCUAUUCACAUUACCAAGAAAAACAAAAAGUGGCUCACCAUUUAAAAAAUUAUCUAAUUCAUGCUAAUGCAGAGCUCAUUUAGAAAUGAAGGCUGUUUACUUUUGUGGGGUAUUUUUAUGAAUGGCUACUAAAUAACUUCAAAUUUUUUCUGAGUAAUACUGAAUGAAACAACUGGGUCUCAGCUCCAGCUAUUUCCAGCAACUACCCCACCUAAUUCUUUUAGUACAGCUUUAAUAUAGUUCUUAAUAUAGUUUGGUUUUUGACUCCUCCAGAAUCUUACCUCUCCACUAGUUUUAAACCUUUUAAAAAAUUUGCAUUCUGUUUUUUCCAGGUUGGAUAAUGCUCAUUUGUUCCUGAAUAUAAAUGAAGUAUAAAUUGCUUUUUUUGUUCCUUAAAGAGAUGAUAUGAACAGAGUCUCUCACCCUUCCCUUUGGCAGAAUAAACAAGCUGUGCCACUGUAGCCUUAUGGCAUGAUGGGUUUGUCCUGGAUCAGUCUCACCACCCUUCUCUACACUCAUCCCAGUCUCAGUCUCUCUCUCCUGAAUGUUGGUGCUCUGGAUGGCACUGAGCUACAGAGGGGCUCCCAGCACUGCCUCCUCCUGACACACACUCGCAACGUCUACUGGAAAUAUCUCACCCAGUAGACCCAAGGAUCUAAUCUGCCUUUUCCACAUCCACUUAACACCUGAAGCCAGGGGUUAACUUGCACUUCCAGGCACAACUCUCAUAUUUCUGUUUCUGAACUGAUGACCUUGCAGCUUAUGACAGAAAUUUGUAUUAGUACAGAAGGGCACAAGCUUGCAAUUUGCACUAUUAAGUUUCACUCCACUUUUAUUACUCUAGUUCUCAAGGUUAUUCAGGUCUUCCUGUAUCAUAUUGCUAUCCCUUUCCUUAUUAAUGAUGUCUCCUACUUCCGUGUCAUCAGCAAAUUUUAUUAACAAACUCCAUCUUCCUAUUUUAAGGUAAUGAAUAAAAAUAUGACUGAAGAUACAUCCUUGAGGAACCCUUGGUAAAAUACCACUCAAAGUCAGUUAUCACAACAUUAGGAACUGAAUUCUCCUAUUUCACAUUUGCAGGAAAUACAAUUCAGCUCAAUGAAAAUGAAUUUUUAGAUCCUAGUGGAUUUAAACUUUCCAAACUUUUAUCUUCAAACAUCUGAAAGUAGUUCAAAUCUGCAAUUACCACAAAUUUAAUAACAUCUACUUAAAAUAAUAGAAUAAGAGUUUUCAUAAAUCCAUGUACAUACCUCUUUACAGCUAUAAAAGUUUGGAGUAUAAGAAUUGUACUCACGAUGUAGUGGUCCCUUUGAUUGUUUUUAAGCAUUUGACUCUAGUAGUUAAAAUAAUUGUUUUAAAAUUAUAGUUGCCUUAGCAGUCAAUUUUACCAUUUAGCCAGGCUUAUAUUUAAUCUCUUAUCACUUUCAUACUAUUCCUGCAAGUCACAACUUCGCUGGAGAAAAUGAUCUCCAGGCUUGAGAUGACAUUCUCCAUG